GAAUAUUGGACAAUGGGCGAGAGCCUGAUCCAGCCAUGCCGCGUGCAGGAAGACUGCCCUAUGGGUUGUAAACUGCUUUUAUACGGGAAGAAACACCCCUUCGUGAAGGGGCUUGACGGUACCGUAAGAAUAAGGAUCGGCUAACUCCGUGCCAGCAGCCGCGGUAAUACGGAGGAUCCAAGCGUUAUCCGGAAUCAUUGGGUUUAAAGGGUCCGUAGGUGGAUGAUUAAGUCAGAGGUGAAAUCCUGCAGCUCAACUGUAGAAUUGCCUUUGAUACUGGUUAUCUUGAAUCAUUAUGAAGUGGUUAGAAUAUGUAGUGUAGCGGUGAAAUGCAUAGAUAUUACAUAGAAUACCAAUUGCGAAGGCAGAUCACUAAUAAUGUAUUGACACUGAUGGACGAAAGCGUGGGGAGCGAACAGG
rnacentral:rRNA from 1 species